rnacentral:sRNA from 2 species
CCGUCCACGUCAUUGGGGAGUAGCCUGUUCUGAAUAACCGCGUUUAUUCAGAAAGUCCGUAUCAACAUACUCGUUUUAUUUAAAACGUGGUACGGACACCAAAUUCGGUUGGCAAGACCAUAGACACAUAAAUACGCCAUUGGU